UACGUAGGGGGCAAGCGUUGUCCGGAAUCAUUGGGCGUAAAGAGCGUGUAGGCGGCCAGGUAGGUCUGCUGUGAAAACUCGAGGCUCAACCUCGAGACGUCGGCGGAAACCAUCUGGCUAGAGUCCGGAAGAGGAGAGUGGAAUUCCUGGUGUAGCGGUGAAAUGCGCAGAUAUCAGGAAGAACACCCGUGGCGAAGGCGGCUCUCUGGGACGGUACUGACGCUGAGACGCAAAAGCGUGGGGAGCGAACAGG
rnacentral:rRNA from 1 species